rnacentral:rRNA from 1 species
GCCUACGGGGGGCAGCAGUAGGGAAUCUUCCACAAUGGGCGAAAGCCCGAUGGAGCAACGCCGCGUGGGUGAAGAAGGUCUUCGGAUCGUAAAACCCUGUUGUUAGAGAAGAAAGUGCGUGAGAGUAACUGUUCACGUUUCGACGGUAUCUAACCAGAAAGCCACGGCUAACUACGUGCCAGCAGCCGCGGUAAUACGUAGGUGGCAAGCGUUAUCCGGAUUUAUUGGGCGUAAAGGGAACGCAGGCGGUCUUUUAAGUCUGAUGUGAAAGCCUUCGGCUUAACCGGAGUAGUGCAUUGGAAACU